GCGGGAGUCGGAUGGGCGCUGUCGUCGCCAACCCGGUCAGAUCCUGACGGAAGCAGCCGUAACGAUUUUUCGGCGGGUCAUCCGGCUCCUAUUUC
rnacentral:SRP_RNA from 1 species